UGUUGAGGUCAUUUAAGGGUUUUUCUUUAGAAUAUCCAUCUGCACUCAAAUUUCCGUGGGUUCUUUUGGAAGGCUGCUAGAAUAGGUGAGCGUUUAAGUCCUUGGGUAGCUAUGGGAUGCUUUGUUAUGGGUAUUUCCAUAAUCAUAUUCUGAGAAAUUGAUGCAGUUUUUGGCUUGUUUAUUUUCUCCUGGCUUCUAGCGUAAUGAUGUAAUUUCCCUUUUUAAUGGGGGUGUGGAGGUUCGAUAGUAAUACAUGCAUCUACAUAAGAAUAGUAGUGAGCCUUUUAAACUAUUGUUAGAAACAUAAAAUGUAGUAAUAUAUAGUCAUUUGUCAUUA